UACGUAGGUGGCAAGCGUUAUCCGGAUUUACUGGGCGUAAAGGGAGCGUAGGCGGACUUUUAAGUGAGAUGUGAAAUACUCGGGCUCAACUUGAGUGCUGCAUUUCAAACUGGAAGUCAAGAGUGCAGGAGAGGAGAAUGGAAUUCCUAGUGUAGCGGUGAAAUGCGUAGAGAUUAGGAAGAACACCAGUGGCGAAGGCGAUUCUCUGGACUGUAACUGACGCUGAGGCUCGAAAGCGUGGGGAGCAAACAGG
rnacentral:rRNA from 1 species